ensembl:lncRNA
CGCCGCCAGGGGGCGAUAGCUCCCCAGCGCAGCUGACUGAGGGGCGGCGGCGUCCCGUGCGCCGUCCCGGCACCUGCGUAGCGCUUCCAACGUGGAGUUUCGAGCUUGCCGUCCCGCAGUGUCACACAGUCACCCACGUGGGGCUCGUCCCGAGAAGGAACGUCUCCUGAGGUUGCACGCAGCACCCCGCACAGCCUUCCGCUGGCUGCCUAGGCGGGAGGUGGCACGUCCUCACAGGCACUGCCUUCCCUGCCCCUCACAGAACAUCACCGUAGCAGAGGGCACACAGAGGAUAUGAGCCCAGCCUGGUGCUGACUGCACCGUGCCCCGCUCCUCAGCCAUCAUCGCCAUCUUGGCCACCUCAGCACGUCACAGGGAUCAAAGCAAACCUCUCUGAACGGUUCUGCUCUCACCACUAGUUACACAGUUUCCAUUCAGGAGGAAGCUACAAGGCACAGGCUAGUUCUUGCUGGCAGCACAGCCAGCACCGUUCUGAGCCGGGAUCUCUCUUUGGAGGCCACUGCAGCAGGAGCCGGGGCAGGCUGGGGAUGUGUGGUAGCAGCCGUUGGCACAGGGUUACCUCAGCGUCCUGUCAGGGCACUGAGCGCCACAGAGCAGAUGGGAUCCCAGUCUUCCCGCCAUUUCUAUGACUGUAAAACUUUCCCAAAGUGCAAAAUUUCAUGCUUUUUGGAGAAGAAUCAAAGCUACCAGGCUUUCUUGAUGAAAAUAUUAAUUGCUAGUGCCAGGCAAGGACCUGGGCUCCAGAAGCUCCCCCAGCCGUGGCCUCAGCACCUGGUGAAAUGGCGAUGCUCAUCCUCUUUGCUCUCCUCCGCCUCCAGACGUCCCAGCCAGGUUCCAUUAAGGACAAGGGAAGAGCAUUAGCUGCUGGAUAUUUCACAAAACCAUUUUUCUUUUGAUGUCCCCACAUGUUAAAGUUUUGGAAACCAUAGGGCUUUUUUCCUUUUUUUUUAGCAUGUUCAGACUAAAAUCUUCUGAUUCUGUCAUUUAAAUACACUUCUCCUUCUGCUGAGACUUCUGCCUUGAAUGGUUUGGGACGCACACAACCUGACCAGCCCCUGGGAACGUUGCUCUGCAGUGACUCCAUAAGCUGCUCCAGGUUUUCAGUGAGAACUUUUCCUGGACUAUUUGUACAGAGAAGUGUCUGAUAGUUAAACUGUUUUACACUGAUGGACUGGGAAGCAAAGCAGUCCUUACAACUCCCUGGAACUGCCAGCAAGUCCAGAUGGAACAACAUGGAAAAGCAUUGAAGAAGGAGCUUCCUAACUCAGCUUUGGAAAUGUGGGUGAAGCUACAGGUUGAAUCUUACCGAUUUUAUAACUUAGUGGAGUGAAAAAUGCCAGUUACAUUACUGCAGGACCAGGAGGUGUUGGUCAGCAUCAAAUCUUUUUAUGUACAGACUGAACACAGACCCUGAUCAGCCACUUCUUUUCAGGAAGCUCGGUGAUGCCUGAGUAAACCAGACAGACAUGAGUGUGAAAGGGAAGUGGAUCUGUCCAAAGCCACAGAGAAGGCCAAUUACAGAAAUCUGUUUAGAACCCUGCCACCAAAUUCCCACUUCAUUGGAACAGCCCCUAGGAUUACCCUCUCAUUCUCAACCAGCAUGGAACAGUACAGAGCUUUUGUCACUUGUUGUAGGCAGACGAGGAAAAGGAAU